ensembl:lncRNA
UCAUAGAAGGACAUGAGGUACGACCCACUAAGGAGUGAUCAGAGCUAGUCCUAACAGGACAUGAGGUACGACCCACUAAGGAGUGAUCAGAGCUAGUCCUAACAGGACAUGAGGUACGACCCACUAAGGAGUGAUCAGAGCUAGUCAUAGAAGGACAUGAGGUACGACCCACUAAGGAGUGAUCAGAGUUAGUCCUAACAGGACAUAAGGUACGACCCACUAAGGAGUGAUCAGAGCUAGUCAUAACAGGACAUGAGGUACGACCCACUAAGGAGUGAUCAGAGCUAGGCAUAAUAGGACAUGAGGUACGACCCACUAAGGAGUGAUCAGAGCUAGUCCUAACAGGACAUGAGGUACGACCCACUAAGGAGUGAUCAGAGCUAGUCAUAGAAGGACAUGAGGUACGACCCACUAAGGAGUGAUCAGAGCUAGUCAUAAUAGGACAUGAGGUACGACCCACUAAGGAUCUCUUUGUUUCUUGGGACCUAGGACAAGCAUCUCUGUUUUGUCCGAGUUUAAAAGAACAUUUGCAGACAUCCACUUCCUUAUGUCUGAAACACAGGCUUCUAGCGUGGGCAAUAUUGGGGCUUCAACAUGUUUCAUCGAAAUGUACAGCUGUGUGUCAUCCCCAAGCAGUGAAAGUUAACAUUAUGUUUCCGAAUGACAUCACCAAGAGGUCAAAUAUAUAGUGAAAACAAUAUUCACACUAUUAUUCCCAAUAUUAACAGUGUUUUCCUGUACACAGACUUCUUGUACAGUAAUACCACUGAGGCUUCUGGGUUGCACUAGGUUGGGUAUACUCCUCUCUUGUGGGGAGUAUAUGACAACGCAAUAAGUAGGAUGAAAUUGCCAAUACACACUGAC